rnacentral:rRNA from 1 species
AUUGAACGCUGGCGGCAGGCCUAACACAUGCAAGUCGAACGAGUGGCGGACGGGUGAGUAAUGUCUGGGAAACUGCCUGAUGGAGGGGGAUAACUACUGGAAACGGUAGCUAAUACCGCAUACCAUCAUAUGUGCCCAGAUGGGAUUAGCUGGGUGGUGGGGUAAAGGCUCACCUAGGCGACGAUCCCUAGCUGGUCUGAGAGGAUGACCAGCCACACUGUAACUGAGACACGGUCCAGACUCCUACGUGAGGCAGAAGUGGGGAAUAUUGCACAAUGGGCGCAAGCCUGAUGCAGCCAUGCCGCGUGUAUGAAGAAGGCCUUCGGGUUGUAAAGUACUUUCAGCGGGGAGGCGUUACCCGCAGAAGAAGCACCGGCGAACUCCGUGCCAGCAGCCGCGGUAAUUC